GCGGUGGCCGAGUGGUUAAGGCGACAGACUAGAAAUCUGUUGG
rnacentral:tRNA from 14 species